UUCUUCAUGAUCACCCUGUGGCUGGUGUUAUUUGCAGAUAAGAAAACUGCAACUCAAGAUGGUAAAAACACCCAGAGCCCAUCAGCUACAGAAUCUAUGUGGAAGUGAAACUAGCCACCAAUGAAAGUGGUACCCCAAAAUUGAGUGAGCAAUUCAGGGAGACAUCUGUGGAUAUUAGAAAGCGAACUCCGCCCCUGUAACUAAUGAGUCCCAGGCUCUGCCCUGUUCUAUUUCCAAAAGAUGAAGGAAAGCAGGCACCACAGAGCAAAUCUCACCCUAAGAGGCCGAAUGAUGUCACCCAGAACCCUGGAAGCCCACAGAAGUAUUACCCUUUAAGAAAAAAAGCCAGGUACUCCCUCUGGCAUUUAUUUAAGGACACGUAGAGACCCUGUCACUAUCCCCAACAAUAAAUACCAAUGUUGCCUUGGUGUAUGACUGGAGGAGGAAGCAAGAUCACAAUCCCAGAUGACUGAAUCCAACUUCACAAGGAAGACCUGAUCUUGGCAAAAGCCAAGGUUUUUCAAACUCAUCCCUUUGGGGGUUGCAGUGUUUAAAAGUAAAUUUCUUCCCACCACUAAAACUCGCUGGGUGGAAAUAGCCCUUGGAAGAAUGGAAACCCAUGUCCCUCUGCAGCAAUCCAGUCUGCCUCCCAACGCUCAGAAAUGUGCUGUGCUCAGCAUUUCUGUGCUGAUGCAGCAUCCAUGGUCAAAAAGGCGGGCGGCUGCAGCAGCCACAGCAGCAGUUGCUCUAGGGGGUGGAAAUCAGAUUGCACCAUUUCUACCUCAUUUGGCAGCAGAAGCACCGAGUCACAAGGAAGACGAGGUUCUAGUCCAGAAGCAGCUGGGCUAUAUCACUUUAAAGGUGGAUGAAUCACUCCUCCUGAAUGCAAACACCAGCAAAGAAUGCGUUAGAGGAUCCGCCAUCAUAUUAAAAAUUAAAUCCGGCUGCAUUUCAUAAUGGGCUUUCCUUUUUAAAGCACGGUUUCAUCUUCUCACCAUGGAAAUUGCGCUCUGAUGGCUGUUCUUUAUGGUUAACACUGAGGCAUCAGCUGAGGUCAGAACCCUGCUUCUCUGAACAGGGAACCACAAAUGUCACCAACACAUGGUAUGCUUGGCAAAUAAUAUAUUUCUUUCCAAUCUCCUGUGUCUUCGGUUUGUCUAACGCCAUGCUUGUGGUAAGCUGGAGAGAGUUUAUUUCUCGGGUCUUCUUCCCUUCCUUUGGUGGGACCAGCAGGAGGCAUGCAAUUUACAAUGGAUUCAAAAGUGCACCUCUUGUGAUUUUUGUUGUUGUCUUUAUUUUAACCUCCAAGAAAAGAGAGAUUUAACUCAGUCUUCACCCCAGGCUAAGCUAAUACUUAGGUCAUGUCUGAGCUCUCUGGGGAACCCCCGCUUUAUACCAUCCGAGGGGCAAUGGUGUCUUUUCACGUGGAGCAGCACAGCUGUCCAGCCAUAUGGGCCCCAAACAGCCCAGUCAAUCGGAUUUGGGGAGGUUUUACAAUGUAAUUUCUUAACGUGUUAGUAUUUGGGGUGAGUUUGAUCAGUGGUAUAGACAGCUCUUAAGCCAGAGGGUUUAGGUUUUAAGAAGCCAUCACAAAUGUCCCAGCAUCUGAUCGGACUGUUUAAAAACAGAUAUAAAAAUCUGUGACGGGGGAAAGGAGAGGACUCAAUGACCCCCUGGCUAGAGAAAGCCCCAGGGAUAUGCUCUAACUAUUAAUUCAGCAUCAGCUGCUUUUUCUUUUUUUUUUUUUUUUUCCUUUUUUCUUUUUCUUUCCUUUUCUUUUUAAACCUGGAGCUUCUCAUUUAAGGCGUUCCCACUCAGGCCUGCAGAGCCUGUUACAAAACCAUCCCUCUGCUCCCCUCCCCCAUGCCGCAAGAUGAGAGAGCAAAUAUCCUGCAUUGCAGCAAAAGGCUCAGGAGGACCGCACAGAAACCGUCCUCCAGUGAAACAAAACCGGGCC
ensembl:lncRNA